rnacentral:rRNA from 1 species
UACGUCGGGGGCUAGCGUUGUCCGGAAUCAUUGGGCGUAAAGAGCGUGUAGGCGGCCCGGUAAGUCCGCUGUAAAAGUCAAAGGCUCAACCUUUGAAUGUCAGUGGAUACUGUCGGACUAGAGUCCGGAAGAGGCAAGUGGAAUUCCCGGUGUAGCGGUGAAAUGCGCAGAUAUCGGGAGGAACACCGGUGGCGAAGGCGGUUCUCUGGGCCUUACCUGACGCUGAGGAGCGAAAGCGUGGGGAGCGAACAGG